CAGUAGCCGCGGUAAUACGGAGGAUCCAAGCGUUAUCCGGAUUUAUUGGGUUUAAAGGGUGCGUAGGCGGCCAAUUAAGUCAGGGGUGAAAGACGGUAGCUUAACUAUCGCAGUGCCUUUGAUACUGAUUGGCUUGAAUACACUAGAGGUAGGCGGAAUGUGACAAGUAGCGGUGAAAUGCAUAGAUAUGUCACAGAACACCAAUUGCGAAGGCAGCUUACUAUGGUGUGAUUGACGCUGAGGCACGAAAGCGUGGGGAUCAAACAGGAUUAGAUACCCGUGUAGUCCCUGUCUCUUAUAA
rnacentral:rRNA from 1 species